AUGGGUGAGUACAGCUGUUCUGAGCCAGAGCAGCGACAGUAUCAGAACCGAGAAACAAAUGGAGGACCUACAUGGAACAAGGACCUCCACAAAAGGAUCCAGACAGAGGUCAUAAUUCAAGAGGUAGCUGAUAUUAUUCCCACUGAAAUAGAAAACCCAGAUCCUGGAAAGUGCCCCUUUCUCUGCGGAAUCACCACGGCGGCUGGGACCCUGGACACGUACUCUGAAAACCGGAGGGCCUUCAAGGCCCUCAUUGCCGCUCAGUACAGCGGGGCUCAGGUCCGCGUGCUCUCUGCACCACCCCACUUCCAUUUUGGCCAAACCAACCGCGCCCCCGAAUUUCUCCGUAGAUUUCCUGCUGGCAAGGUUCCAGCCUUUGAGGGUGACGAUGGAUUCUGUGUGUUCGAGAGCAACGCCAUUGCCUACUAUGUGAGCAGCGAGGAGCUGCGGGGAAGUACUGUAGAGACAGCAGCGCAGGUGGCGCAGUGGGUGAGCUUUGCUGAUAGCGACGCAGUGCCACCAGCCAGCAGCUGGGUGUCCCUACCCUGGGCAUCAGGCACCACAACAAGCAGGCCACAGAGAAUGCAAAGGAAGAGGUGAGGCGAAUUCUGGGGCUGCUGGAUGCUCACUUGAAGACGAGGACUUUUCUGGUGGGCGAACGCAUGACGCUGGCUGACAUCACAGUUUUCUGCACCCUGUUGUGGCUUUAUAAACAGGUUCUGGAGCCUUCUUUCUGCCAGGCCAUCCCUAACACCAACCGCUGGUUCCUCACCUGCAUUAACCAGCCCCAGUUCCGGGCUGUCUUGGGAGAGGUGAAACUCUGUGAGAAAAUGGCCCAGUUUGAUGCUAAAAAGUUUGCAGAGAGCCAGCCUAAAAAGUACACCCCAUGGAAGAAGAAAGGUUCUCGAGAAGAGAAGCCGAAGCCCCAGGCGGAGCGGAAGGAGGGCAAAGAGGAGAAGAAGGCGGCCGCCCCUGCUCCUGAGGAGAAGCUGGAUGAAUGUGAGCAGGCGCUGGCUGCCGAGCCGAAGGCCAAGGAUCCCUUUGCCCAUCUGCCCAAGAGUACCUUUGUGUUGGAUGAAUUUUAGCGCAAGUACUCCAACGAGGAUACUCUCUCCGUGGCGCUGCCGUACUUUUGGGAUCACUUUGAUAAGGAUGGCUGGUCCCUGUGGUACUCUGAGUAUCGCUUCCCUGAAGAGCUCACCCAGACCUUCAUGAGUUGCAACCUCAUCACUGGAAUGUUCCAGCGAUUGGACAAACUGAGGAAGAAUGCCUUUGCCAGUGUCAUUCUCUUUGGAACCAACAAUAGCAGUUCCAUUUCUGGUGUCUGGGUCUUUCGAGGCCAGGAGCUUGCUUUUCCGCUGAGUCCAGAUUGGCAGGUGGACUACGAGUCAUACACAUGGCAGAAACUGGAUCCCAGCAGUGAGGAGACCCAGACUCUGGUUCGAGAGUACUUUGCUGGGAAGGGGCUUUCCAGCAUGUGGGCAAAGCCUUCAAUCAGGGCAAGAUCUUCAAGUGAACACCUCUUGCCACCGCCCAGCCGCCUGCACCUGCCCUUCGGGGAGAAUGGGGGUCAUUAAAGAAAACUGAACAUUGAAAAAAAAAAA